UUUCAUUGCUUGGGUGUUUCCAUUUCUUGCAAAACAACAAAAUAUCCGGUUUGUACAUUCGGUAAACACACACAGUUGACGGAGAACGUCGAGGAGCAUCAUCGGAAUCGGUGGUCGGGGGAAUAAGUAUUCCAGGGUUUUCGGUCUUCCUCUUCAAUUUUUGUUCAUCGUCCUGAAGGGUUUCAUUCCUUGGAAAUCAUUGCUUCCUUUUCUGUUUUCUGCAUCGUUCAGCAG